rnacentral:sRNA from 1 species
UAUUUUAAUUCAUUAAAACUCCAUUUAAAUACAAACACAAAAACAGAAUAAAAAAGAUUCACAAACCUAUUAACACUCACUAAUGAUCCGAUGGAAUAUGUGGAUUACAAUAGCUUUGAAACCUCUAAAUGUAACUCCGAUGUCCACCAUGGAUGGAAGAAAGUUGAACAAAAACAGGCGGAUCAGUUGGUCGCUGCUUAUGUGGAGGAUGAAUGGAGUGGUGCCGGUGAGGCGAAUUCAAAACGCCGAGGUAUUUAUUCGUUGAAACAUUUAAUUAUAUAUUUUAAUAGAAAAAAUUAAACUUUUAUGUUUUCUGUAAUCUCAGAGAGAUUUGUAAUAAACGGUUUAGGUAAACGAUAGUUAAGAUGUUGUAUUUCAAAAAAACGCAAAAGGUAUUUAUUCGUAUUUGUGUAAGUAAAAAAUGAGAGUUUGUUUUAACUCUAAUAAAUGAGAGGUCCAUAUUUCAUUUUUUUAGUGGAAACAAACAACCUACCAUAAGGCAAGUAAAACCUAAGCUUUAGGACAGAUAUUAUAUAGCAAAACAUAAGGUGAUAUUUUGAAAAUACUAAUUCUUUAGUGGCGAAACACCAUAAGGAACUUUUCAAUCGCCCCAUGUUCGAAUAACCAUAGAUGAUUUUUUGUUGUUUUUCACCAUGUUUUAUAUAUUUUUUUUAAAUGUACUUUAGGUUACAUUUUUUAUAAUUGAUAU